GACGAACGCUGGCGGCGUGCUUAACACAUGCAAGUCGUACGGUAAGGCCCUUUCGGGGGUACACGAGUGGCGAACGGGUGAGUAACACGUGAGUAACCUGCCCACAACUUUGGGAUAACGCUAGGAAACUGGAGCUAAUACUGGAUAUGUGCUCCUUCUGCAUGGUGGGGGUUGGAAAGCUCCGGCGGUUGUGGAUGGACUCGCGGCCUAUCAGCUUGUUGGUGGGGUAGUGGCCUACCAAGGCGGCGACGGGUAGCCGGCCUGAGAGGGUGACCGGCCACAUUGGGACUGAGAUACGGCCCAGACUCCUACGGGAGGCAGCAGUGGGGAAUAUUGCACAAUGGGCGCGAGCCUGAUGCAGCAACGCCGCGUGCGGGAUGACGGCCUUCGGGUUGUAAACCGCUUUCAGCAGGGACGAAGCUUUUUGUGACGGUACCUGCAGAAGAAGCACCGGCUAACUACGUG
rnacentral:rRNA from 1 species